rnacentral:lncRNA from 1 species
CUCAAAUAGCGGAUGUUAUUCACUUAUUUACAACUGGCCCUUGUCGUUUCACUGCAAGGCUUCUCAUUCAAGCGCUGAUCCUCUCCAUGUCGCUCCUUCUUCCCAAAGCUGGCCUCCUGUUUCAGAAGUCUACAUAUUCUCAUAUUCAGCUGCGUCAGGCAUUUCUGUAAACUCUUUCACCGAGCUAUGGCCAAAAUGGAUUAAAUAGUUGCUAAUCUUCAAUCAUCCGUCGUUUCCCUGGGAUCAGUGCUGGAGGAUGGUCCCGCCGUGCCGCCAUUUCAGCCUCCGGUUCCUUAAUGACAGUAAACCCAGGGGAAUCACAGGCUGGUUAGAGGUGUCCAGAAACCUCUUGGUUAAGUGAUAAGGAACAGCACAACUUCAAACAGAACAAACGGAUCACCUGCUGCCUCCUCAAGCCUUCCAACCAGUAUCACUCC